rnacentral:rRNA from 1 species
GACGAACGCUGGCGGCGUGCCUAAUACAUGCAAGUCGAGCGGACGAAUCGAAAGCUUGCUUUUGAUUCGUUAGCGGCGGACGGGUGAGUAACACGUGGGCAACCUGCCCUGUAGACGGGGAUAACACCGAGAAAUCGGUGCUAAUACCGGAUAACACGAAAUGUCGCAUGACGUUUCGUUGAAAGGCGGCGCAAGCUGCCGCUACAGGAUGGGCCCGCGGCGCAUUAGCUAGUUGGUGAGGUAACGGCUCACCAAGGCGACGAUACGUAGCCGACCUGAGAGGGUGAUCGGCCACACUGGGACUGAGACACGGCCCAGACUCCUACGGGAGGCAGCAGUAGGGAAUCUUCCGCAAUGGACGAAAGUCUGACGGAGCAACGCCGCGUGAGCGAAGAAGGCCUUCGGGUCGUAAAGCUCUGUUGUUAGGGAAGAACAAGUAACGCAGUAACUGGCGUUACCGUGACGGUACCUAACGAGAAAGCCACGGCUAACUACGUG